rnacentral:rRNA from 1 species
GAUGAACGCUGGCGGCGUGCCUAAUACAUGCAAGUCGAGCGAACGGACGAGAAGCUUGCUUCUCUGAUGUUAGCGGCGGACGGGUGAGUAACACGUGGAUAACCUACCUAUAAGACUGGGAUAACUUCGGGAAACCGGAGCUAAUACCGGCUAAUAUUUUGAACCGCAUGGUUCAAAAGUGAAAGACGGUCUUGCUGUCACUUAUAGAUGGAUCCGCGCUGCAUUAGCUAGUUGGUAAGGUAACGGCUUACCAAGGCAACGAUGCAUAGCCGACCUGAGAGGGUGAUCGGCCACACUGGAACUGAGACACGGUCCAGACUCCUACGGGAGGCAGCAGUAGGGAAUCUUCCGCAAAGGGCGAAAGCCUGACGGAGCAACGCCGCGUGAGUGAUGAAGGUCUUCGGAUCGUAAAACUCUGUUAUUAGGGAAGAACAUAUGUGUAAGUAACUGUGCACAUCUUGACGGUACCUAAUCAGAAAGCCACGGCUAACUACGUG